AAAAGGAUGUCAGCUGCACAAUGAUCUGAUGAAUACACGGAUAUACAGAGAACCAAUCCAACAUUUACGGAUGAAUACUCAAUGAUCCAGUCUGGAAUUGAAUCAAGACCGCUUCAUGAUCACAGUACAUAUGAAGAAUGCGGACAAACCUUUGAUGCUUCAGCAUAUCAAAACAUCAACAAAAUGAAGUGCGGU